ACAGUGUCUGGUGGGUAGUUUGACUGGGGCGGUCUCCUCCUAAAGAGUAACGGAGGAGCACGAAGGUUGGCUAAUCCUGGUCGGACAUCAGGAGGUUAGUGCAAUGGCAUAAGCCAGCUUGACUGCGAGCGUGACGGCGCGAGCAGGUGCGAAAGCAGGUCAUAGUGAUCCGGUGGUUCUGAAUGGAAGGGCCAUCGCUCAACGGAUAAAAGGUACUCCGGGGAUAACAGGCUGAUACCGCCCAAGAGUUCAUAUCGACGGCGGUGUUUGGCACCUCGAUGUCGGCUCAUCACAUCCUGGGGCUGAAGUAGGUCCCAAGGGUAUGGCUGUUCGCCAUUUAAAGUGGUACGCGAGCUGGGUUUAGAACGUCGUGAGACAGUUCGGUCCCUAUCUGCCGUGGGCGCUGGAGAACUGAGGGGGGCUGCUCCUAGUACGAGAGGACCGGAGUGGACGCAUCACUGGUGUUCGGGUUGUCAUGCCAAUGGCACUGCCCGGUAGCUAAAUGCGGAAGAGAUAAGUGCUGAAAGCAUCUAAGCACGAAACUUGCCCCGAGAUGAGUUCUCCCUGAGACUUUAGGUCUCCUGAAGGAACGUUGAAGACGACGACGUUGAUAGGCCGGGUGUGUAAGCGCAG
rnacentral:rRNA from 1 species